rnacentral:rRNA from 1 species
UACAGUUUGAUCCUGGCUCUAACUAACGUUGGCGGCGUGGAUUAGGCAUGCAAGUCGAACGAAUCCCGGGGGGCAACUCCCGGGGGAAGUGGCGAAAGGGGCAGUAAGGCGUGGGUAACCUACCCCGGGGACGGGCAUAGCCCUCCUAACGGAGGGGUAAUUCCCGGCGAGGUGGCGGGGUCGCAUGGUCCUGCCAUGAAACGAGUUUCGCCUCGGGAGGGGCUCACGUGGUAUUAGCUUGUUGGCGGGGUAACGGCCCACCAAGGCCGAAAUGCCUAGCGGGUUGUGAGACUCGACCCGCGCCACUGGCACUGAAGACACUGGCCCGACUCCUUACGGGAGGUUGCAGUCGAGGGAUCUUCCGGAAGGGGCGCAAGCCUGACCGAGCGACGCCGCGAUGGGCAUGAAGGCCUUCGGGUGGAUAACCACUGCCGAGGGGGAGAAAGCCCGCAAGGGUCACCUAUCCCGGUGGAAGCACGGUUAAUUCGGGCUCACCGCGUAAAACAACCGGGCCGACUUUUUCGGAUUCUUGGCUUAAAGGCCCGAGGCGUCGGCCAGUCGGGGGAAAUCUUCCGCUCACCGGAAAGCCCCCACUGCGGCUUAAGAAACAGGGCAUGCGACUCCGGUGGACGUAAUGUAAAUUCGAAGGAGCGUGCAACCGUGUCUGAUUUCUCUGCCUAGGCGAUCAGGACAACGAUAAUCCCGAGCGCCUAACAUGACGGUAGGACUGAUGGUUAUGCAACAAUGUAACCACUGAGUCGUCAGCUGACAGAUAGGGUCACACGGGAUGCUAUUCGUACGACUUCUGUUAUGAAAGGAGAAGUGAACUCCACACACACCG